rnacentral:lncRNA from 1 species
CGGAGGGCUUGCCUUCCUUGUCACGUGCGCCGCCCAAAUGGAAAAAUACUCCGCCCGGGGUCAGGGGACGUUCGGGGGAGGGAGAGGGAGAGGGACCCCCACUGCAAGCAGCCUUCUCCCAGGCUGUGCAGGCACUGAGGCCACGUCUGGUUAAUCGUUGGCUAGAAAUCAAUCCCCGGAGAGAUGGCCCCUGAUAAGGGCAGCGCGAGCACGGCCAGGGAAGGGGCCCAUCCUUCUCCGCAGUCGGCUAACGAGCUUCAGGCGGAGAGCCAGCUGUGCAAACUGCACUGGGGAGCCUUAUCAAGCUUGGGAGAGCAGCGCGCCGAGAGCGAUGAGGCCGAUCCACUUGGUCGCCGGCUGGCCGUGCCCUCUGGCCCACUUUCUGGAACCAGCCCGUUUUCUUUGAGGCUGCUGGAGGUCCCAGGUUCCAAUGUGCUGGCAGGAUGCUCUCUUCUCCCUGGGAGAGACGGGGAAGGGAUCUGAGUGGUAUAGAGGUGACUCACCCGCCUUGCUGGGCAGCUUGACGGGAUCGUGCCUGGGCUUACCAGAGUCUGAAGAACACAGGAGGAGGUACCAUGCUGCCAGCCAGGUCAGGAGGUGAAGCUGUUAGUGGGGUGGCUUUUUCCAGGAUGCCUGGGGAUAGAGGAAAUUAGACGUUGCUGAGGCCCAGGCUGGCGAGCAGAGAACGGUGGAAAGGAGGAGGACAGGCUCGCCCUUCCCCUGACCAGUGCAGAAUUGAAUGAAUUGAUUCCCAAACCAGAGUUUGGCCAGGAUUCCAUUCUGCACCGAGGAAAGUUCUCUAGCUGAAGGGAUCUGUGCCCCACAAGCUAAGUAUGAGGAAUCAGCAGCCAAGUUGGGUGCUUUCUCUCUCUCUCCUCAUGUCCCCAUUCACUUAGUCACCCUCCCCUCUCUUUCAACUGGCCUUCCUGCUUCCAAGAUCUUCCCCCUUUCUGGGCCACUCUCCACCAAGGUGCCAGAUUUCUGAGGUCUGAGGUCGCCCGCCCCCCAUUUAAGAAGCUACAUUAUCGUUAGGAGUGUGGGUUGAGAAGAUCUGGGUUGGAAUCCUGGCUCUUCUGCUUCUUCCUAGGUGACUCCAACUCCCUGGUUUUCAGCUCCCUUGACUAGAAAACAAGGGGGUUGGACCAGCUUCACUCUAAGGUCCCUUCCCAUUCUAACUCCAGGAUCCUAUAAAAAACAAUGCAAAUACUUCUAUUUGCCCUUUAAAGCCUUUCAGAGACUGGCUGCACCUUCUCUUCCAUGGCUGACGAUGCAUUCUUUCCAUACACAUAUUGUCAGUCACUCAGCCAGUCAACAGGUAUGCCACAAUUUCCAAAGUGUAAAUGCUCAAAAUUAAAAUUUAACUAUCAGCUCUCCUGAGCCAUCCAAGCUGGUUCAGCACACCCUACCCCACUCUCCCCA